UACGUAGGGUGCGAGCGUUAAUCGGAAUGACUGGGCGUAAAGGGUGCGCAGGCGGUUGGUCAAGACGGAUGUGAAAGCCCCGGGCUUAACCUGGGAGUGUCAUUCGUGACUGACGAACUAGAAUAUGGCAGAGGGAGGCGGAAUUUCACAUGUAGCAGUGAAAUGGCGUAGAUAUGCGGAGGAACACCGAUGGCGAAGGCAAUC
rnacentral:rRNA from 1 species